rnacentral:misc_RNA from 1 species
GAUGAAGAACGUAGCGAAAUGUGAUACUCGGUGUGAAUUGCAGAAUCCCGUGAACCAUCGAGUCUUUGAACGCAAGUUGCGCCUCAAGCCAUUAGGUUGAGGGCACGUCUGCCUGGGCGUCACAUAUCGUUGCCUGAUGCCAGUUUCCUCGUGAUGGGUGACUGUGCAGGGCGAAUGAUGGCUUCCCGUGAGCAUUGUUGCCUCAUGGUUGGUUGAAAAUUGAGUCCUUGGUAGGGAGCGCCGUGAUAGAUGGUGGUUGAGUGACGAACGAGACCCAAUCAUGUGAGACCCCUACCGAAUUUGGCCUUCAUGACCCACAUGCGUCUUUGGAACGCUCAUGACGAGACCUCAGGUCAGGCGGGGCGACCCGCUGAGUUUAAGCAUAUCAAUAAGCGGAGGA